UACGAAGGGGGCUAGCGUUGUUCGGAUUUACUGGGCGUAAAGCGCACGUAGGCGGAUUGUUAAGUCAGAGGUGAAAUCCUGGAGCUCAACUCCAGAACUGCCUUUGAUACUGGCAAUCUCGAGUCCGGAAGAGGUGAGUGGAACUCCUAGUGUAGAGGUGGAAUUCGUAGAUAUUAGGAAGAACACCAGUGGCGAAGGCGGCUCACUGGUCCGGUACUGACGCUGAGGUGCGAAAGCGUGGGGAGCAAACAGG
rnacentral:rRNA from 1 species